UUCUCAAAUGAUGAUACCUUUAUUUUACAUUUUCUGGUACCUCUUGAUUUAGAAGCUCUCGCGGGAGCGACGAUGAUCUUAACGGACUUCUGACU
rfam:Blumeria graminis f. sp. hordei DH14, WGS project CATH01000000 data, contig: 002256